CGGCGCCGCGGCCGCUUCUGCUGGUUGAGCUGCUGCCGCCGCCGGGCGGACGGGCGGACGCGCGGAGCUGGGGGCGGCGCGGCGGGGCCGGCGGGGCGCGGCGGGGCUGACCGGCCCCGAUGAGGCGGAAGGAGAAGCGGCUCCUGCAGGCGGUGGCGCUGGUGCUGGCGGCCCUGGUCCUCUUGCCCAACGUGGGGCUUUGGGCGCUGUACCGCGAGCGGCAGCCCGACGGCACCCCUGGGGGAUCGGGGGCGGCAGUGGCGCCGGCGGCGGGACAGCUUGCUUCCCCACCCCAGCCUGGGCAUUCCUGUUUGACUGAGACCAGGAUUAUUCCCGCCUCCCAAGAGCAGAGAGGGCUCAGAUGCACGGCCUCUGCCUUGGUGGGGUGGGCAUUUUCAGCACCUAGCACACCUCCUUACACACAAUGCUUGCCAAAUAAUGGAUGGAAGAAUGGACAUGGGCUGUUACCACCACAUUGAAAAACCUGCAUAUACUAGAAUCACCUGGGCACUCGCCGAGCCAACAGCUUCCUGGUCCCACCUCAGCCCUCCAGAUUCAGCAUUUCUAUGGGUGGACUGGGGAAUCUGCAUGUUU
rnacentral:sRNA from 1 species